UGCUCUGGCAGCCUGCGCUCCCCUCCAGCCCUGGCUGCCGGUACGGCGUGGCCUGGGCAGCCGCCCCGCCGGUAACGGCCCCGCCGCCGCAGGGUCGGACACCGCUCCCGGCCCUAAUCUCCCGCUUUUCCCUGGGGAGGGAAGCUGCUUACUGGGACGCGAGCCGCCCGGCUUACGUGACCUCCGGCAACCCCGGAACGCAGAGGAACGCUUCACCCCGUUCCGCCACGGGUUCUGCGCAUGCGCACUCCAGGGCGAGCGCGGGCCCCACCACGCUUCAGCGGGCAACGACGGCUCUUAAAACGGCAACGACGGCUCUUAAACAGGCAACGGCGCCUCUUUUAAAACGGCAACGGCGGCUCUUAAACAGGCAACGCCCCACGAGCGAAUCGGGAUGGCGACUCCAGCGCUUCCCUGGGCGGCCUGUUCCGACGUGUGAUAACCCUCUCGGUGACGAAAUUUUUCCUAAUACCCAUCCUAAACCUCGCCUGGCGCAACUUGAGGCCGUUUCCUCUUGUCCUAUCGCCUGUUCCUUGGGAGAAGACACCGACCCCCGCCUUCUCUCCACCCUCCUUUCAGGGAGUUGUAGAGAGCGCAAAUCAUUGGGUUUGUAUUAUUGUUUUUUUACAGGCAGGGAAGGGAGGGAAAGACCCUUUGCGUGACGCUGGGGGAUUCAUUUUGGUUCUGGAGGCGGGGGGGUGUGAUGCUCGGCUGGGGUAUGUGCGCAGGGUGGGGUGUGCUGAGCACCCCACUGCAAUACAUGGAGGGCAAGAGGGCAGGGAGGGCAGGGCUGCGGGAGCUGGGGGUUUGGGCGGAGGCGGGAGCGCUGCUGGGUCAUGCCAAGGCAGUCAGAUGUGCUGGCACCACCCCGAGGUGUUGAUUCAGCGGGGUUUUACCCUCGGCUGCUGCAAAAUCCCCUCCCCGGCGCGCCUCACCUGGGUUUACAUGUGCGCUUAACCUUAAGCAGCCGCUCAGGCGUGUUGCUGAACCCGGGCCAGGGCUCUGCGGCGGGCGUGGAGCCCUGCAGGAUGCUCGGGGGAAAACAGAAGUGGAUCCCUGCAAGAUGAUGCUCAGGAGAAAAUAGAAGCUGCCGCUUCUUCCCGGAACAAGAGCGGGGCUGAGUCCUCUCCGAUGGACCUGGCAUCGCCUUUGGGCCACCUUCCCCUUAGCCGUGCAUGCCCAACAGUGGUCCAGGGCACCCCUAUCCCAGUCAUGUUCACUGUCGGGGUGCCAGCACCCCUCUGCUCCCCUCUCUGUGCUUCCCACCUGGCUUGAAAACCUGACCUGUAGGGAAACUGAGGCAGAGAAGCGCGUCGAUGCCCUGCUGCGGCACCGGCUAGGGCUGGGCGCUC